rnacentral:rRNA from 1 species
AUAAGGUUAAGUUAAUAAGGGCGCACGGUGGAUGCCUUGGCACUAGAAGCCGAUGAAGGACGUGACUAACGACGAAAUGCUUUGGGGAGCUGUAAGUAAGCAAUGAUCCAGAGAUGUCCGAAUGGGGGAACCCAGCAGGUAAUGCCUGUCACUCAUUACUGUUAAGGUAAUGUAGAGGAAGACGCAGUGAACUGAAACAUCUAAGUAGCUGCAGGAAGAGAAAGCAAAAGCGAUUGCCUUAGUAGCGGCGAGCGAAACGGCAAGAGGGCAAACCGAAGAGUUUACUCUUCGGGGUUGUAGGACUGCAACGUGGACUUAAAGAUUAUAGAAGAACUACCUGGGAAGGUAGGCCAAAGAGAGUAAUAGCCUCGUAUUCGAAAUAGUCUUUAUACCUAGCAGUAUCCUGAGUACGGCGGGACACGAGAAAUCCCGUCGGAAUCUGGGAGGACCAUCUCCCAACCCUAAAUACUCUCUAGUGACCGAUAGUGAACCAGUACCGUGAGGGAAAGGUGAAAAGCACCCCGGGAGGGGAG